UGGCUAUCCUUAUUUCUUUCUUAAACUAUGGGGAACAAUUUGAGGUUGAGAUUUGGACAAGUGGUAGCAAGCAAAUAGCAAUCUUGUGAGUUUAGAGGUGACUAUCCUACUUAAUUUCAUCUUGGAAUGGUUAUGUCUUCUCACUUGGGAUGAGAAGUUCAUAGUGGUGCUUCAAACUAGGCUGGCAUUUGAAUCCUUCCAAAUUAUUUAGUCAGGACGGGUUUAAUGGAGAUGACAUUCUUUGCCAUGGCAAGUGAAAUGUUGGUGCCAAAAGUUGGAUGAGCACCCAACUCUUCUGACUAAACUUAUAAUUUAUGAUGACCAUCAAGCAAAACAAAUCAAUGCCCAUUAUAGAACACUAGUAUGUAUCUUUUCAACAUUUUAUUAGUAGUCACUUGCAUUGAUUAUGUUAAGUAAAUAAGAAGAUUUUGUAGUUAUUUCAAGAUUUGGAGAGCAUAUGAACUCUUAAUAGUGUUUUUGUGUUGGCUCUAGCCAAUUAAUGGCCAUGA
rnacentral:lncRNA from 1 species